rnacentral:rRNA from 1 species
GGGUCAGUAGGUUGGUCGUGCCACCGGUACGUACUGGUCUCACUGAUUCCUCCUUCCUGAAGAACCGUAAUGCCAUUAAUUUGGUGUUGCGGGGAAACAGGACUGUUACUUUGAAAAAAUUAGAGUGCUUAUAGCAAGCUAACGCUUGAAUACAUUAGCAUGGAAUAAUGAAAUAGGACGAUCGAUCCUAUUUUGUUGGUUUCUAGGAUUGACGUA